AUGGUAUGGAUUUCCUAUAAACAGCGUUUGUUCCAGUGCUACCUCAUUGCAGGAAGUUGGGCUCACUUGAUUGCCAUUGUUGUACAUGUUCUUCUAAUGCUUAAGAAAUGGAACUAUAUUGUACUGAAUCAUUCGACUACCAAAUAUAUCAAUGGCCUUUUUGUCUAUAGAAGAGGUUCUGACAUACCAGAAUUUAAAUUUAAUCAUAUAGUGUAUAAUUUGUUCGGGAAUGAUUCUAUAUGUUCAAAUCUCGUUCAGUUUGGUGGUUGUUUGAUUGUUUCUGCAGUAAGCUUUAUUAGACUCCUCAAAUUCAAUUGA
rnacentral:rRNA from 1 species